AUUACCGUCGGCCACGAUCUAAGCCAGACGGCAUGCCACGGCCAGAUCCGAAAAUGCAACACGAGCACGCGGCCGGUAGAUGAACCCAUCCAGCCACAUCGACAGCCGCGCA
rnacentral:sRNA from 12 species